UACAGAGGGUGCGAGCGUUAAUCGGAAUUACUGGGCGUAAAGGGCGCGUAGGCGGUAGAUUAAGAUAGAUGUGAAAUCCCUGGGCUUAACCUAGGAACUGCAUCUGUGACUGAACUACUAGAGUAUUGUAGAGGGUAGUGGAAUUCCCGGUGUAGUGGUGAAAUGCGUAGAUAUCGGGAGGAACACCAGUGGCGAAGGCGACUACCUGGCCUGUUCUUGACGCUGAGGCGCGAAAGCUAGGGGAGCAAACGGG
rnacentral:rRNA from 1 species